GUUGGGGCCAGCAAUCAGGGGCAUGACCAAGGAAGCCAAGGACAAAUGCAGGCUGAGAGUCAGAUGCCAGGCAGGGACCCCAGGAACAAAUCCUUCCACUUGCCUCUCCCGAGAGCCAUCCUAGCUGAGGCUGAGUCACUGAGGCCUCACCUGAGACGGGGAGGGGAGCCGGCGCUGCAGGAGCAAGUUGAGUCAGAAACAUGUGAGAAGCUCCGAUCUAAAAAGGGAAGUCCAAGGGUCACCAAAGUGAAGGGACCAGAGGUAGCUAUGGCAGCUGGGACACGGACACAGGAAUCUGAGAACCAGGGAGGCAAGGGCAAAAAUAGUAGGUCCAGGGUAAACAGGGUUGGCCUAGAAAGUGGGCUGCCUGCGGCUCACACUGGUGGGCCAGCUGGGCAGGGUGGGAGUCUGGUCUGUGGGAUUUAAAGGGCUAGGACAGACAGCGAUUUCCAGGAGACCUUGAGUCUGUCUCAGCCUGGGGAGCCUUUUCUCACAGCUCAGGCGGGUGUGAGCCAGUCUCAGCAUAGAGUUAUGAACUAGGCUGAGUCUGUUGGGGAGGGGGAAGGCUGUGUCAGAGAUCAGGACAAACCCUGAUGGGUGCUUGAGUGGAGGGACAAGUCUGGGUGGGUGCUGGGGCCUGAGCCUGGUAAAGCCUGCAGGCUCAGGCCUGCCAGAGAAAGGAGGGCCUGGGGGAGAAAGUGGCUGAUGAGUCACAGGUCCCAGAUGUGGAGCAGAUGCCGUGGGCAGAUUUGGGCUGCUCGUCAGCAGAUUUGACCAGAGCCAGGAUCAGCUGUGGGGCCCAGGCCACCAAGAGCCAGCUCCUCUGUGAGUAUUCGCCCUUUGCACCGCCUCCUGGCCCCCACAGAACCACAUUCUGGGAGAGUAAAGGUCUGUGCAGGGCUUUAUGAGGUGGUUUGAUGACGUAUCCAGGCCGAAGGUGAGCCUCCCCAGUCAUUAACUCACUCCCCCCUGUGGGUGAAUUCCAUGAGGAGCUGUUCCUAGGAGCUGCAGAACGGGUUUCCCUAGGCACACAGACCUGUCUGUCAGUGUGCAUUUGCCUGCUCAGCUACGUCCUUGGCACCUCGGAGCCUGUCCCUGCUUCACCUCGGAGGCCACGUGCUUUCUCUUGCAGGCGACUCUUCCUGGAACGGGUCAGGACACAGGGACAGUGUGAAGGCUGUGUUGGGUCAGAUGGGCCCAGAACACGCAUUUGGAUGCCUAACCCCCGGCACGGUAAGGGAGCCAGGUUGCUCCCUGUGUUUUCGGCGUGUGUCCUUGCAAAUUCAAGCGUAAUGUGUAAUGGCCACGUGUUUCAAGCCACUGCCGUCUUCCUAAAAUAAGGCUCUGACCACGGCUCCCAAGGAGGGCAGCAGCAGCAGCAUGGGUGGGCUGGCGGCCAAGGCUGGCAGAAUGAGAUACGCACUUGAACUGAGUGCGGGGUGUUUGCUUACACAUUCUUCUCCACCACAUCAUGGAUUGUGAGUCAGUAAAUCUGGAUGAAGCCUGAGACUCAGCACUUCUAACAGGCCCCCAAGGGCCGCCGCUGCCGCCGCUGCUGGUCCAGCGACUGCUCUUGGAGGAGUGAGAAUCGAGGAAGUCUCUUGGAGGAAGUCCCUGACAGCAUCAUGGUCUGGGGCUCAGCUUUGCAAGACUGGAGGAAUGCAAUCCAAAUUCUUCAUCUGCAGUUUUGAAAUUCAGCACUGAUGAAAACCAAGAGUAUUUUCAUGACUCCUUUGAAGGCAACAUCUGGUUUGAACUCAUCUUUUCCUUCCUACUGCAUUUUGUCUGCUUCUCAGACUUUCGUGGACUGAUUGUCAUUAUUCAGAAAAUUACCAUAAGUCCAGUCUGUGACUCUGUAGUGAAGCAUUGCUGUGUUGACAGUGGGGGUGAAAAGGGAUGCACCCUGGCUGCGGAGUGACUUCACGGGAGCCAUUGUGACUGUUGAAUUGGAUUCAGGCAAGAUGCACCACUGGGCAAAUUUUAUUAUGAGCUCUACAUGUCAGGAACUCCCAAUAUUUGUCAUCUGAGAAAGCCCCAGAAUGUUGAGACAGGAGCCAAGCUCUGCCCUGUAAGCCAGGUGAAACCAAAGCACUGAGGGCACCUGUAUGUGUGCCCGCUAUGGGUAAGAAGCACGGCCGCGCUUCUCUGAGCCUUCCUCUUCCUGUUUGCUCCCCUAUUCAAAGGUGUCUCUGUGGGAGGAAUCCCGGGAGUUUACUUUAGGGGGCUGGAGCUGUGGUGCAGCGGGUUAAAGCCCUGGCCUGAAGCACCGGCAUCCCAUAUGGGCGCCGGUUCGAGUCCCGGUUGCUUUACUUUUGAUCCAGCUCUCUGCCAUGGCCUGGGAAAGCAGAGGAAGGUGGCCCAAUUCCUUGGGCCCCUGCACCUGUGUGGGAGACCUGGAAGAAGCUCCUGGCUUUGGAACAGCUCAGCUCCUGCCGUGCGGCCAUCUAGGGAGUGAACCAGCGGAUGGAAGACCUCUCUCUAUCUCUACCUCUCUCUGUAACUCUUUCAAAUAAA